UAAGGAAUAUUGGUCAAUGCCCGGAAGGGUGAACCAGCCAUGCCGCGUGAAGGAUGACUGCCCUCUGGGUUGUAAACUUCUUUUGGAUGGGACGAAAAAACGGGAUUUAUCCUGGACUGACGGUACCAUCAGAAUAAGCACCGGCUAACUCCGUGCCAGCAGCCGCGGUAAUACGGAGGGUGCAAGCGUUAUCCGGAAUCACUGGGUUUAAAGGGUGCGUAGGCGGUUUUAUAAGUCAGGGGUGAAAGCA
rnacentral:rRNA from 1 species